rnacentral:rRNA from 1 species
UACAGAGGUUUCAAGCGUUGUUCGGAUUCAUUGGGCGUAAAGGGUGCGUAGGUGGCGAGGUUAGUCAGGUGUGAAAUCUCGGGGCUCAACCCCGAAACUGCACUUGAUACUGCCUUGCUAGAGUACUGGAGAGGAGAUUGGAAUUUACGGUGUAGCAGUGAAAUGCGUAGAUAUCGUAAGGAAGACCAGUGGCGAAGGCGAAUCUCUGGACAGUUACUGACACUGAGGCACGAAGGCCAGGGGAGCAAACGGG